UACGGAGGGUGCAAACGUUGCUCGGAAUCAUUGGGCGUAAAGCGCACGUAGGCGGCCUUGUAAGUCGGAUGUGAAAUCCCUGGGCUUAACCGAGGAAGUGCAUUCGAAACUGCAAGGCUUGAAUACAGGAGAGGAUCGCGGAAUUCCCGGUGUAGAGGUGAAAUUCGUAGAUAUCGGGAGGAACACCAGAGGCGAAGGCGGCGAUCUGGACUGAUAUUGACGCUGAGGUGCGAAAGCCAGGGGAGCAAACGGG
rnacentral:rRNA from 1 species